rnacentral:lncRNA from 1 species
CAGCUUUCCCCUUUCCCAGAAAAAAAAAACAAAACAAAACAAAAGGCGCUAACAAGGGAUUCUGAUAACCUCGAAAUUGGUGAAUCCGGGCAACAUCUUCAAAGCUCUCUGACCCGAUUGUCCUGCCGCAUCUGCCUGAAACGCCGCGUCCUUGAGCUUCUGAGGUGCCUGCCCGGCACGCGCUGCCCCCUGGCGACCGUCCUGCGCCCUCCUGACUGCGGGGUCGCUGGGCGGCCCUCAGCUUUCUGCCCCAGGCCCUGUCCUCGCCUCACCUGGGCUUCCUCAGCCAUCGCCUCUCCCGCCGCGGCUUCCAGUACCGUUCCAGCGUAUCCAGUCUUCUGCUUCCUGCUCAGACGUUCGGGACAUCCAGGAACCUGGCUCAGGUCGUGGAGAUGCAACCGAGACUCCCUAAUUAGCUCAGGCUCUGGCCCAGAGGACUGCAUGGCUGUAUUUAACCACCUGGGAAGUGGCGCUGGAAAGAUGCUGGCUCAGCGUCCUUUUGUCAUCAUCAGAAAAGGAUCCAUUUGGCCCUACUUUGUCAUGGAUCCAUUGCUGGAUUCAUCAUGUGCCCAGGGAAGUAGGCAGGGCCAACAUUCAGCCAGUGUGUACAGGUAUAGUCAUAAUGGUUAUACAUGGCAGGAACCUAUCCUGACUGUUGAUGCCCAUGCUGUCCUGGUUGAAGCAUUUUAA